rnacentral:lncRNA from 1 species
AUCAAAAAAUACUGAUCACAUCAAUAUGAUAAAAUAAAUAUUGAACGAUCUAAAUACGACAUCUAAAAUUUAAGAUUGAAUCUAGUAGUUCGACAAGCCUCGACUAACUGAAUCUACACAGUCACUGGGACAGGCCCCAGCUGACUCCGAUUGUCUGAAGAGAAUAAUAAAAAUAUUUACUAGAAACUGAAAAUCUGAAUAGCUAAGUCCCCAAACUAAGAGGACUCACCAACUGCAGGGAUGUAGAUGAGAUGCUCCAAAAUCACUCUCGCUGCUGAGACUGAGCACCUGAACCUACAUUAUAAGACAAUAUAGCACAUAGAAGUAUAUGUGAAUCCAUACUUUGAUGAUGUACCGAGUAUAUGGGGGUGCAUGCAAUAAGUAAACAAUAUCAUCACAGUUUCUAGAAAACAUCAUGCAUGCUAAAUGUAAAUGACUCAUGUAAGCUUGAGUAAUUUGAAAACUGAAAGUCAAAUCAUGAAUAAUAAAACAUGUAAUCUAAAUCUUGUGAGCCAUUACACUUAGUUCUGAAAUUUGUAUUUUGUUCUUAUUCUUAAACCAUAUAGGCUAAGUGAAAAAGGGCUCACCUUUUUAUGUCUGAAAACUAAAAGCUGUAAUUCUGUAACUGAAAUAUUAAGUAAAGUAAUAUCUGAGUAAGUUUAUGAGCCUUUACACUUAGUUUCUAAAAUCUGGAAAAUACUUUAUCUUAGGUCUUUAAAGAAAUUAGUUUAUCUGAAGGAAGGUUCUCUUAACUGACAUAAACCAUGUGCGCUAACAUGAAGUCCAACGUCUCAUCCUCCUAAGGAAGAAACCUCACGUUGGGGAGAGGUGUCAUACUCUUGCUAGGGAGUAUAACCCGAGCUAAGUGAUCACAUCUGUAACUGUCAUCCACAUAGAAGUGGGAAUACUCUGAUAAUCUGUACCUAUGUUGGCUACAUAGUUCUGUGGAAGUAAGAUGCGCUAAACCCACACUCCACACUCUGUGCUAAAUACUACUCCCUUAUUAGUUGCUAUGCUUAUUCUGUUGGAAAUUCUUUUUUAAAACUAGCAUAAGGGUUUAUCUAAAAUCAAAUAUGCAUUUUUUUAAAAUCUGUAAAUAAAGUUGAUCUAAAUUCUAUAAAGUGGAUUCCAUAGCUAAACUGAUGAUCAAAGAUCAAAACUUUUUUGAAAAUCUAAAAAUAAUAUGUUCACAAGAUGCUUAAAGAAUCAUCUUUCUUGAAGUAACCUUGUUCAAUCUUGGGAUAAAUAACCCAUGCAUCAAUCUUAGGUUAAAUCAUCAAAAUGUUCAUGCUUGAUAAUAUGAUUAUUGAUAAAUCAACUCAAAAUCUGGAAAUUUCAGUAAUAUACAUGGAAACAUAAACAUAAUCAUGUAAUUUAACUUCUAAAUUAUGGAAAAUCUCAUAAUCUUGCAAAUAAUGAUAAUGGGUAUAAACCCUAACUUCAAAUUCAUGGAAAAUCAUAUAUAAUUCAGAAAAUUUGUAAUUAAAACGAAGUUUUGGGCACAAGGAUGAAAGAAGUAUCCUUGUUCAGACCCCACAUACCUUAAUUGAUGAUCUUUGAUGAGAGACUCGUAAUCUUGGAUUCCUAUUGAUAUUUUGGAGAUGACUUCUUAGUGUUCUUGUAUUGGAAAUUCUUAAUUUGGACUAUCUUGGAAAAUUAAUGGAGAAAUUCUGAGUUUCUUGAAGAGGAAGUAUGAUGAACUAGGGUUUUGUUUUGAGGGGAAAGAUGAACAAUGCAUUAAGUUCUUUGAAAUUUGAGUACUCUUAUGUUUUUGGAUGGAUUGGGGGUUAGGGGAUUUACAAAAAUAUCCUUUUUUAAUCUUAAACGGAACCGAAAAAUGUAAUUUUUCCUGAUUUGGGUGGCCACCGCUACGCGCCACAGUCACGGUGGCUCACUGAAAAAAUGACAACUGGAAACUGGGCAGACUCCGCGAUGCGGAGUCAUCGUGGUGCCCCUUUGAAAUGUCAUUUUGGCACAUGGCGCAACACGCUAUUAUCGCGUUGGACCUUUGAAAAUUGACGACUAGGAAGUUUACCCUCUCCGCGAUAUACAACAUCGCGAAGGGCCACUGAAAAAUUACAACUGAGAUUCGACAUUGAUCCGCGGCGCGCUAAGGGUCUAAAUGACGGUGUUUUACGACUGGAACUUAAAAUAACCAUAGCUUCUCACCCGGUUAUCGAAUAUAGGUGAAUCUUAUAUCAUUGGAAAGAUAAUUCAAUUUCCCAUGCCAUGGUAAGUCCAAAUCUAAAGAAUUUCAUAUGAAAUAAACAUCACUCAUUCUAGAAGGUACUAUAGAUAUGAUAGUGUUGUCAGAUCAAAUCAGUUGACUAACUCAACCAAGUUAACUUAUAGUAAUAGCUAUUAUAGUUGUGAAGGAUCUCAUCAGUCAACUAUUCGAGUAAGUCAACUAAAUGAAGGAAUCAUAGUCCAAAUACCUAUCAUAGAAGGUACUAUAGAUAUGAUAGAUCUCAAAGGUCAACUAACUCAAUUCAUUCUACUGAGAGAUAUAAUCAAAGUUAAAAUACUUAUUAUACAACCACUAAUCGAUACUAUAUGUCUCGUUACGAAAACCUAUUCAUAAAUUUUAAAACUGCAGAUUUCGCUUUAGAAAUCCUAGUAAAUGGAUUUGGAGACCCAAAACCGAGUCAACAAAUCCAAAAAAUAAUCUCAAUGGACCAAUAAUGCUUGGGUACCUAGAAAUAAGUAAUAAAUUUGUUUUGUAGGAAAUACACUCAAAAUACAAAGGAAAAUUGUAUCUCGAUAGUGGAUGUUCAAAUCACAUAACUAGAAAUAAGAAUUUAUUUGAAACCAUAACUGAUUUUGAUGGAGAUGACAUCAUCUUUGGAGAUAACGCCAAAGGCAAGGUAAUAGGUAUUGGUACCAUCUCUUUUAAUGAUUUUUUUGAUAUUACUAAUGUUAAUUUGGUCAGCAAUUUAAAGUACAAUCUUCUAAGCAUCAGUUAGUUAUGUGAUGCUGGAUUGGAGGUAAGAUUUAAAAAGGAAGGAUGCACAAUUAAAAAAUAUAGAAGGCAAGUCCUUAUUGGAAACGAACACAGAAAUAUGUAUGUUCUAGAAUCCAUCAAAAGGACAAAAAAACAUAUAUAUGUCUUGCUUCCAUCUCUGAUGAUCCAUGGAUUUGGCACAAAAAACUUAGCCAUGUAAGCAUGAGACAUAUUGAAAAAUUAGUAAAGCAUGAUCUUGUGACUAUAUUGCCAAACCUUGAUUUCAAAAAGACCCAUAUUUGUGAUGCUUGCUAGCUUGGUAAGAAAACUAGAAAUUCUUUUCCUGUAAAAGAUACUGUGUCAACUACUAAACCCUUACAACUUAUUCAUAUGGACCUAUUGGUUUAACUAAAACUACCAGCAUUGGUGGAAAAAGAUAUGCUUUUGUAAUUAUUGAUGAUUAUUCUCGUUUCACGUGGGUUAUAUUUUUGGCUAACAAAAAUUAUACCCUAAAGUAUUUUAAAGUUCUCUGUGAGUAGGUUCAAAGAGAAAAGGCCUACAUCACUGCUGUUAGAACUGGUCAUGGGGGAGAAUUUGAAAAUAAAGAGUUCAAAAUCUUUUGUGACACCCAUGGAUACACUCAUAAAUUCCCAACUCCAAGGUCCCCUCAACAAAAUGGUAUGGUUAAACAGAAGAAUAAAACACUUUAAGACAUGGAUCGAACCAUGAUAUGUGAACACUCUCUACCACACAAGUUCUGGGCAGAAACAGUCAGUACUACAUGUCAUGUUUUGAACAGGUGUCUCAUCCCAUUCUGAAGAAAACUCUAUAUGAGCUUUGGAAUAAUAAAAGACCCAACAUUGGGUACUUUCAUGCUUUUGGCUCUAAAUGUUUUUUCCAUAACAAUGGCAAAGACAACAUUGGUAAGUUUAAUCCAAGAAGCGACGAAAGUAUUUUUAUAGACUACUCUAACUCUAGAAGGUCAUACAGAAUUUUUAAUAAACAUACUCUUUCCAUUGAGGAAUCUGUCCAGUUGUUUUUCAUGAUACUAAUCACUACGUUAAGAAUGUUAGCUCAAUAGAUGAUGUUAUUAAAUAAGUACAACUUAUCAAAACUCCUUCUACAAAGGAUAAAUGCUCUUUAAAUCCCUCUACCACUGAAACUGACCAGUUUAUGACUACUUUAAAUGAUCAAAAUAAACUAGAAGCAAUUCCAAAUGAAUAGAGAAGCGGGCCUGACUAUCCUAAGAAAUCUAUCAUUAGGGAUGAAGUUAAAGGUGUUUUGUGCAAGGACUUCUCUAAAAGAGCUUCCAGUAGAAGAAAUGCAAACAUAGCCUUCAUUUCUGAGCUGGAACCAAAGAAAGUCAGUGAAGCAUUAAAGAUAAAAAACAAGGUAAAAGAAAUGAAGAAGAUCUUGAGAAGUUUGACCAGAACAAUGUGUGGACCCUUGUCCCAUAACUAGAAAAUAUCUCUAUUAUUGGAACCAAAUGGGUAUAUAGAAAUAAAAUGGAUGAAUCAGGUAAAGUUGUGCAAAAUAAAGAUUAUUUAGUCGCUCAAUGCUACUCAAAACAAGAAGGAGUCGAUUAUGAUGAAACCUUCAUAUGUUCUUAUAAAGAAUUUAAAUUAUUUCAAAUGAAUGUGAAAAGUGCCUUCUUAAAUGGGUUUAUUGAUGAACAAGUUUUCGUAAAACAACUCCCAAGUUUUGAAAAUCCAAACUUUCCAUAUCAUGUCUUCAAACUUUCCAAAGCUCUCUAUGGUCUAAAGCAAGCGUCUAGAGCUUGGUAUGAUAGACUAAGUAACUUUCUUAUCGACCGUGAUUUCACAAAAGGAAAAAUUGAUACUACUUUACUUAUCAAAUGAACCCUAUCUGGAAACUUGACUAUUCAAAUUUUAAUUGAUAAUAUUAUUUUUGGAAGUACUAAUGUUGUUUUGUGCAAGGACUUCUCUAAAUUAAUGCAAAGUGAAUUUGAGAUGAGAAUGAUGGGAGAAUUAACAUUCUUUUUGGGAUUGCAAAUUCACCAGUUUACUGAGGGAACCUUCAUCUUCCAAAGUAAGUACACUAAAGAUCUUAUUCAAAGGUUUGGGAUGGAUAAUGCCAAACUAUCCAAAACCUCUAUGAGCUCUACAUGUGUUCUAGAGUCAUAUGAAGAUGGCAAAAUAUUGAAAAAAGAAAUUAUUAUGGCAUUGUUGGCUUACUCUUAUAUCUUAUAACCAGCCGACUUGACACUCUCUUCAGCGUACAUAAAUGUGCCAGGUUUCAUUUAGCUCCUAAAAAAGCUUAUCUAACUGCUAUGAAACAUAUUAUUAGAUACCAUUUUGGUACAAGCUCCUAUUAUUUAGAUGUCCUAAGUCUGCUGACAUUAUUUUAAAAGAUUUCUCAGAUGCAAAUUAUGCAGGUGAUAAGGUUGAUAGAAAAAGUACCAGUAGUACUUUCCAGUUCAAGGGACAAUCCUAUGCGUCAUGGAAUAGCAAGAAGAAAAAUUGUGUUUCUUUAUCUACCACAGAUCUAAACAUAUAGCCAUCGGAUUGUGUUGUGCUCAUAUUCUUUGGAUGUCCCUUCAACUCAGUGAUUAUGAUCUAUGUUUUAAACCUAUCCAAAUUUUCUGUGAUAACUCUAGUGCUAUUUUUUUGUCCAAAAAUCCUAUACAUCAUUCUAGAUCAAAACACAUCGAUGUUAAGCAUCACUUUAUUAGAGAUCAUGUUUCAAAAAGUGACAUUGAAUUAUAUUUUGUGAGUACUGUUUUUCAACUCGCUGAUAUUUUUACCAAACCUUUUCAUGAAGAAAGAUUUUAUUCACUUACAAAUGAUAAGAAUCGAGUUACGUUAUAUGUUAAUAAACAAUAAAAUAAUUCGGAAGCAAAAUCCCUAAGAUUAAAGACAAGAAAUUAAAGAUAGAUAAAAUUUGAGAAUAAAUCUCCAAUUUCGAGAUAAGUGCUAAGAACCCUAAUUGAUCUUGGUAUUCAAAUUUAGUGGAUUAAGACUAAUUAUGAUACUAAUAGAGUCAAUUCAAGAACUUAGAUCCAAAGGUGAUCUAGAUCCCUAUUUCGAAGAAAUUAAAGACAACAAUUAUUAGUAUAAGACUAAUCACCUUCUUUAAUUAACUUUAAUAGAAACCAAAGAUAUCAAGUUAAGAAUUAAUCUUACCUCCUAAAGAAUUGCUCUUAUAAGGUUUCAAGAUAAAUCCCAAGUAGCCACACACAAAGGUGUAAAUAAGAGAAACUCUUAAUUAAUAAUAAUAUUGUCUGAUUGAAAAUAACAAAAUCCUUCCAUAUAUAUAGGGAAAAAACCUAUCCCAAAUAGCAUGAGAUUCGAAUUCUACUUUUAUGGAAAUAAAUAAAUUUAGGAAACUUUAAACUAGAAAACUUUUAAAUUAGGAAACUUUAAAUUAGGAAAGCAAAAGUUUCUGAAUUCAAUCAAAAUUCAUAUGGGCCCAAUCUUCUUCCUUUUGGACUUAGACUUGAAUCAUGAAAUAUGUGUAGCACUUUGCCCAUUCUUCUCCAUGAUUCUUGGACUCUUCUUUCAUAAUAAAUAUCUUCUUGAUUCACAUUGAAGCUCGUCAAUCUUAAUGCAAGUAGGUCAGCCUAGAUGCAAUCAUUCCCCUCUUCUUGAAAAUAAUUCAUCCUUGAAUUUGAAUCUCACAAAAUUAAGAAGACAUACAAUAAUAAAUAACAUCUAUUACUUGAAAACAACAAUGGCAAGAACAAAACAAGAUAGUGACCAUGUGUCCACUUAACCCAGUUAAUCCUUACAUGUAUAAAUACACCUUUAUAAAGCAUGUGGACAUCAUCAUCCCAACAGAAAAUUCUCUUUCUUGUACGAGCACAACAAUAUUCACGUUUAUAUGACGUAGGGAAUGAUAUGUGCCUCCUUAAUUUAGCUCUAUCAAUAAAGUACUCCACUGGGCUUGUUAAAUACGUCAUAAGCUCCAUAAAAUAUGUAUUAAAUUUAACACUUUUAUGAUAUAGCCAAGCAUCAUCAAUUACACUUCUCAAAGAUUUUUUCCCAGGGUUGGAGAUUUGACCCAGUUGUCUUCGUGAGGCUCAUAGUUCUGGAUACUUUAUUCAUCUCGGGACAGCUAAGAUGUAUAGGAAUUUGAAGCAGCAUUACUAGUGGAGUGGUAUGCGGAGAGAUAUAGCAAGGUUUGUGGCACGAUGUCUUUGUUGUCAGCAAGUAAAGGCCAAGCAUCAGAGACCUGGUGGAUUACUUCAGCAGCUACCCAUUCCCGAGUGGAAAUGGGAGCGAGUUACUAUGGAUUUCGUAGGUGGAUUGCCUCGCACUUCGCAUGGUUUUGAUAGCAUUUGGGUCAUCGUGGAUCGAUUGACCAAGUCCGGCCCGCACAUUUUAUCCCCAUUCGAGUUUCCUACAGUGUCGAGAGGUUAGCCCGUGUUUACAUUCAGGAGGUGGUUCGCCUAUGUGGGGUCCCUGUGUCUAUUAUUUUCGAUCGAGGCUCUCAGUUCACUUCUAGCUUUUGGAGGACAUUUCAGGAGGAGUUGGGAACCCAGGUUGACCUUAGCACAGCCUUUCAUCCCCAGACUGAUGGGUAGUCAAAGCGGACUAUCCAGGUUCUAGAGGAUAUGCUCCGCGCUUGUGUUUGAAUUUUGGAGGACAGUGGGACCAGUUUCUACCUUUGGCAGAGUUUGCAUAUAAUAACAACUUUCACUCGAGUAUUCAGAUGGCCCCAUUUGAAGCAUUAUAUGGUAGGCGAUGUCGAUCUCCUAUUGGUUGGUUUGACCUCUAAGGCUAGGCCUCGUGGCACAGAUUUUCUUCGUGAUUUGUUGAAUCGGGUUCGAGUGAUUCAGGAGCAGCCUAGAGUAGGCGGAAGAGUUAUGCUGAUCGGAGACAUCUAUUGAGGUUUAGAGUUGGUGAUAUGGUCUUCCUGCGAGUAUCUCCCAUAAAGGGCAUGAUGAGGUUCGGGAGGAGGGGCAAGCUUAGCCCUAGAUAUAUUGAACCUUUUGAGAUCCUACAGACAGUUGGGGAGGUAGUUUAUGUGUUGGCAUUGCCACCUUCCUUCUCAGUCAUUCACCCGGUGUUUCAUGUAUCUAUGUUGCGGCAGUAUAUUCCAGAUGAGUCGCACGUACUUCAGUGAGACACGGUUCAAUUGGACGAGAAGUUGGCGUUUGUAGAGGAGCCAACAUCUAUUUUGGCGAGGAAUGUCAAGCGAUUGCGCUCCAAAGACAUUCCGGUAGUUAAGGUUCAGUGGCGUCACCGCCCAGUUGAGGAGGCUACCUGGGAGAUCGAGCGUGAUAUGCGCGCCCAGUAUCCCUACCUAUUUGAGCCUUCAGGUAUGGCCUUAUCUUUUACUUUUACGGACGAAAUUUCUUUUAGUAGUGGAUGUUGUAAUGACCCUUACGGUCAUUUUCCUGUAUUUUCAUAUAAUUUUAGUAAUAUCUAAAUGUAUCAUGGAUUAUUUAAUUUAAUUUGGCAUUGGUAGAAAUAUAAUUUAGUACCCUUGUAGAAUAUUUUUGAUAUUGGUAAAAUUCUCUAUUAGAUGAUAUAUUCAUAUCACUUUAUAAUAGACUUUUAUGAUUUAUUAAUAUUUUAAGCGGAGAUAGUAAUUUUAGAAAUGUUAAAAUAUUAUUAUUAUAUAAUAGAGGUUUUGUUAGAAAUAAUUUUCUAUUAAUUAUGAUAUAUUCAAAAUAUUAUAAUUAUUUUAUCACGAAUUUAUACAAUACUCGAAUAUAUACGCAGUGUAGAAAAUUAAUUGGUGUGGCCACCAUAGCACACGUGGAAUGGAAAGGGUGGACCACAUGCUGCCACUUGUCUUCAAACCUUAGGCCUAAUCUUACUUAUAUAUGGUACACUUGAAUAUUAAAAGUGGAAAAAAAAAGGAAAAGUGAACUUUCAUCCACUGAUUGUAUACAUAUACACGUCCAUAUCUGUAUUUUCCCAUAUAUUUGGCCUUUCUCGAUUUGCUUUUUCUUUUUUUUAAUAAAAUUGCUUAGAGUUCUUGGUUAGCUCUACAAAGUUGCAUAUAAGUUAAGAGGAGUGGUGGAAAACAAUUUCUUUGAUGUCAUUCAAAUUCGGGUUAUAGCGAGAUAUUAUUUGGAGGCUUCGCGGAAAGAUAUUAUAGCUUUGGCGUCCAGGUAGGCUAGGUUUACCCUAUCUUUAGAUUGAGCUUAUUUACCAAAAUUGUAAACUAUUAUGCUAGCUCUAGAUAAGUGCUUAUAGUUGUGCAACAUUUGAUAUCUAACAUGCCCUAUUUAUCCGGAUUAGGACCCCGUUCUAGUAAAUAUUGGAAUAUUAUCUUUUAAUAUAAUAUAGCACGUGAAACUAAAUUGCAAAAUCUUGAAUUUAUCCCUUUUUAAUUAAGAAUGACGGAUGAUUAUUUGGAUGUUGACAUUGUUAUGGUAUGGUAUGGAUUUUAAUAUUACCUCGAGUCCGGCAUUUGAUUAUUAUUGUUACUAUGAGUUCCGGUUCGAGUCCGACAUUUGAUUAUUAUUGUUACCAUGAGUUCCGGUCCAGCAUCUGAUUAUGGUUGUGGUUCCUCUGAGUUCCAGUUCAAGUCCGGCAUCUGAUUAUAAGUUCUAUAUAUGUGGCCUAUCGUUAUUACUCACUAUGUCCGGUUCGAGUCCGGCACAUGUCCUCUUGUUAUUAUCAAUUACUAACGGUUCGAGUUCAGUGUCUGGCCUCUCGUUACUCCCCAUUGGUGCUGGUUCAAGUCUGGUGCACACUUGGAUGGCUAUCAUGAUUUAUUGGGAUCAGCCCAGUUAUAGAUUAUUUAUGUUUAUUUUCAUUACUUGUGUGUCCCAUCGGCUUAUGGGGGUACGAUUGGGUUAAUUGUCUUCUUCAGUGUGCCUAGCGGGCUUAUGGGGGGCCAGCUAGGUUAUGUUUGACUUGUCUGUCAUUACUGCAUUAUUUAUUUUCUGUAUUGCUUACAUUUAUUCCUUUAUCUCAUUGGCGUAGUUUGACAGUUGUUUACCCUUUUUGUCCCUUUUCUAUUGACUUGGAUUACAUCCUCCCAUUGUAGUUAUACCUUUUCUGUAUUGAGCUCAGUCAGCCCAUGAUGCCUACUGAGCACCCAUUGCUUUGGUACUCAUACUACACUUCUGCAUUUUUUUCCUGAUGCAGAUCUAGGUACUAGCAGUCAACGUUGACGUGAUUCCUAUCUUUCAGUACUGGUUUGGAGCAGGGUGAGCUUACUUUCGUCCGAGGCUGAUCCUCUUUUAUCUACUCUAGUUAAUUUUUUGCACUCGAGACUGCUUGUGUAUAUUGUGUACAUUUUAGAUUUUUGUCCAGUACUUUGGGUACCUGUUAGUAGUGGCUCUAGUACUGACCUUAUCAGGUCUUGGGAGAGAUUCAUUUGUAUAGUUGGUCCUUUUUCCUCCCCUCGUUUUGAUAUAAUAUAUAUGCUCCCUUCUUAGUUUUCACUUAUUAUUGUUGUUGUUACCAUUAUACGUGAUAUUUUAUUUGGUCUCUGCCUGUUAACCUGUUACCUAUCAUUCCGGACUAUGGCUUGCCUUGCCUACUGGUGGGUUAAAGUAGGCGCCAUCACGACUUUAGAAAUCGGGUCGUAACAAUAGAAUUAAAUGAAAUUCGGGAUUUAAGACCCAUAGGUUAUGGGUAAUUCAAUUUUGGAAUAAAUUUCCAACUGACGUUACGGGCUCGAGGUUGACUUUUUCAUUGACUUUUUGACCAAUUAAUUUUGGGUCAAUAUGGAUACCAAUGAACUCAUAUACUUGUAAGAACUCAUAUUUAAACAUUUUGGGAGUGCUCGGAGGCUCUAUGGAAGGGGAAAGCUAUUUUGUGAUUUCAGUGCUUUGAAUCAAGAUAAAUUAAGACUUUCUAGACUCCGAUUGAGAGAUGUUUCCGUAAUUUAUGAUAGUAAGGACUAGGGAGAUGACAAGCACCUAUGAGAGUACCAGGUGACAUGUAUGACGAGUGCUUAUGCGGGUACGGGUACUUAGCCCUUUCAUUAGCCUAUAUAUGUGAUUAUUUGGCACUGCCCAAGUUUAUUUGAGAAUUCUAUGACUGAUGCGAAAAAUGAUCAUCCUAAUUAAUUGAUCAUUUAUUGAUACAUCACAAGAAUAUCUCAUACACUAGUGAUAAUUGAAGAUUGUCUAGAUGUAUUUUUCUAUAGUUAUGGUUAGAUCAGGUGCACGCUUGCAUAGUAUUAUUGUUGGAUCAGGUUGCGCUCCUGCAACGGGUGUAUGGACUUCACCAGUCCCCAUGUGUCAUGGCUCCCGGAAAUCCCUGUUGGAGUACGUGUGUGUACUGGUUGCAUACAUGACCAUUGCAUUGCAUAUUCCAUUCUUUAUUUGACUUGCUGAAUCUGAAUGAGUAAACUGAUACCUGUUUAUUUCAGAGAUCCUAUUUGACUGAUUUAUAGCAUUUCUCUCUUAUUACUCUAAUUAAUUAUCUAUGAAGAUUUAUUUCUGUUUAAGGCUAAUGCAAGUGUUUCCAGCAACCAAAUCUCAUCACUACUUCGACGAUAUCGAUCGAUGAUACUGGGUACGCGUUGUUUUGUACUUAUACUACACUUGUUGCACUCCAUUUCGGGUGCAGGUCUAAAUUUGAGCGCUAGUGGAGUUCACGGAGCAGUUUGAGUCUAUAGUUGUUCAAGCGGAGGUUUUCGCCCUGGCUAAUCCGCAGCACCGUGCUUCCUCUUUAUCAUUUUCUUUCUAUGUUUGUUAUUUCUAGAGAACUGUACCAACUUACUUCAACUUAUAUACUCUUAGAGGCUCUUGUACUUGGACUCCAGGUUUUGGGGUGUAUUUUGUUACUUACACAUUUUUAGGAUUAUGAAGUUAUAGUUAUGACUAAAUUAUGUCUUUUCGCUUUUACUUUCCGCUUAUUUGUUCAAAAUGGACUAAAAUUGUAAUAGGAUUCGCCUAAAGGUUUAGGUGUAGUAGGUGCCUUCACGGUUAUUCGAUUUUUCGGUGACAGGUUUUUGCGCACUAAGGUCUUCCGUUAUCUUAAAUUUUCUUUUGUAUUCUACUUCAGAUCAAGCAAAGAGUGGAGGUGGGUAAAUAUUUGGAAAAAGAGAUCACUAAAUUAAUAUCCUUUCUCAUACUUUCCCACUUCCACUCAGUUAUUAACAUACGAAAGUUUCGCAAUUCAUUAACAUAACAAACUAAGAAACCAGCCAGAAAUGAAUCAUCACAAACAAAAUAAUCAUCUACAGUCCUUACAAUAAAAAAAGGCUGGAACACUGCUCGACUUUACAGAACCAGAAGAAGCACUCAAUGACAAAAGGCCACUUCUCGUUAAUUAUAUACUUAUAUUCUUCACUAAGUUAGUAUAAUUGAAAACAAAAAAGGGGAUAAACGAACACAUGACAGUCUUUGAAGGGGCAGGAAAUGAUUAUUAAUAGAAGAGGGUCAGUAAUUUCUCACGUGUUACUCCGUUAAUUUCUUGGUGCACCAUGAAGUUGACUAGGUGUUAUUUUAUAGAGAACCAUACUUUUGUGCAGACUUCCUAUUUUUGUAUAUUAUUUGUUCUUUAAAUUCUUUUUCAUUUGAUGAACAAGCUUAUAGCAAAUAUUUUCUCACCACACUAACAAAGCUAGUACAUUCACAGAAAGAGGAAUAAACGAACACAAUUUAUACAACUAUUAACAAAAACACAAUUAUCAUUAUGACUCGGUAAUAUGUCACAAACACUAAAGCCUUUGACAAGGAAUUGAAACAAGAUCUCACCCUGCAAGUGAACUGAGAAGAAAGGAAGCAAUGACGCACCAUCCAGUGACAGUUGAAGCAGUAACAGUGGCGUAAUCAAAGAAAUAGACAAGAAUCAUUCGAGAAACACAAGUUCCUACAAGAAUUUCCAAGAACAUUCCUAACGUCAAAUAGUAUAUGCAUUGAAGACACCCAAUUUGCUUAACGAUUAGCCAUGGAUCCCACACCGCUGAACCAUAGAACAUGUCUGUUGCUGUAUUUUUCCCCACCAACACACAACCAACAAGUUUUCCCUCAAAUCCACAAGAAGUAUGUCUUAGAACUGAACUUCAAAACAUACCAAAAGCACAAUCUUUGAUGACUGUUGCUUGUUCCUUCCUCACAAACAAACACCCAACUCUCAAUUCCCUCGAGACCCACAAAAGUACUCUUUGAUCGGAACCAAAAUUCAAUUUCAAAAUACACCAAAGACCAAUCUUCCGCACAAACAAUAAACCAACUUCCAAUUUCCUCAAAACCCAGCAAAAUACUCUUUAAUCUGAAUAAAAAUCCAAGCUCAAGACAAACCAAAAUAGAAAUUUUGAUUACUAUCGCUGAGUUUUCGCACACAAAAAAAGAAUCAGUUUCUCCAACUCCCUCAAAUGCCACCAAAUUACUCUCUGAUCUGAAUCAAAAUUCAACCUCAAAAUACACACAAAUACAAUCUUUGAUGUUUCUUCAAAAACAAAGGGCCUACUUUAGCAAUUAUGUCCAAACCCAAGUAUUCUUUAAUUUGAAUUAUAAUUCACCACAAGAAACACACCAAAAUACAAUCUUUGAUUACUCUUGCUGAGUUCUAUCACACAACCAAACAAGAGCAACUAAACCAAAAGAAAAAUACAGAAACAUGACAAUCUCUGAUCUAAACCAAGGUAAAAUAACAUUGAUUGCAACAAUUAAAAAUUGCAAUAAAGUAUAUACGUGAUAUGAAUAAGGAAGGGGAGAUACUAAACCUUAAUUUCGCGAGAAUAUGUGUCAAAGCUGAUCAAAGCAUAUAGCGUAAAAAAUCUGAGAAUCCAACAAAUUCCACUGAGAUUCACUUCCUGAGAUUUAAUUUUGGAGAACAUAUAUUGGUAAAAGAUUGGAGUGAACAAAUGCACGGAAACCAUUCGAGCGAAGUUGAAGUCUUGUUUGGGCAAAAAUUUUAUUUUGCAUUUCAUACGCUACCUCAUAGUUGUUUGAGGUCUACAUAUUUCACAAAUGGGCUUUUGGGGCUCAUCUGGCAGACCAAAUUUUUUUCUAAAAAUUAC